GUUUGAUCCUGGCUCAAGAUGAACCCUUGCGGCGUGCCUAAUACAUGCAAGUCGAACGAAACAUUAGUUGAGCUUGCUUAAUUAUUGUUUAGUGGCGAACGGGUGAGUAACACAUAAGCAACCUGCCCUUAAGACCGGGAUAACUGACGGAAACGACAGCUAAUACCGGAUAAGAAAGUUUAAGGCAUCUUUAACUUUUUAAAGGUUAGAUACACUUAAGGAUGGGCUUAUGGCGCAUUAGCUAGUUGGUAGGGUAAUGGCCUACCAAGGCGAUGAUGCGUAGCCGACCUGAGAGGGUGACCGGCCACACUGGGACUGAGACACGGCCCAGACUCCUACGGGAGGCAGCAGUAGGGAAUUUUCGGCAAUGGGGGAAACCCUGACCGAGCGACGCCGCGUGAGUGAUGAAGGCCUUCGGGUUGUAAAGCUCUGUUAUAAAGGAAGAAUAGCACGAAUGUACUUCGUGUCUGACGGUACUUUAUCAGAAAGCCACGGCUAACUACGUGCCAGCAGCCGCGGUAAUACGUAGGUGGCAAGCGUUAUCCGGAUUUAUUGGGCGUAAAGGGUGCUCAGUCGGUUGAUUAAGUUUGUAGUGAAAGCUCGGGGCUCAACCCCGGGUUGCUAUGAAAACUGGUCAGCUAGAGUGCAGAAGAGGGUAGUGGAAAUCCAUGUGUAGCGGUAAAAUGCGUAGAUAUAUGGAGGAACACCAGCGGCGAAGGCGGCUACCUGGUCUGUAACUGACGAUCAAGCACGAAAGUGUGGGGAGCAAACAGGAUUAGAUACCCUGGUAGUCCACACUGUAAACG
rnacentral:rRNA from 1 species